GAUAGAUCAUUCAAGUUUCUGCCCUAUCAGCUUUCGAUGGUAGUGUAUUGGACUACCAUGGCAGUCACGGGUAACGGAGAAUUAGGGUUCGAUUUCCGGAGAGGGAGCCUGAGAAACGGCUACCACAUCUACGGAAGGCAGCAGGCGCGUAAAUUACCCAAUCCUGAUUCAGGGAGGUAGUGACAAGAAAUAACAACUCGGGGCCUCACGGCUUACGAGAUUGCAAUGAGAACAAUUUAAAUCUCUUAGCGAGGAACAAUUGGAGGGCAAGUCUGGUGCCAGCAGCCGCGGUAAUUCCAGCUCCAAUAGCGUAUAUUAAGUUGUUGCAGUUAAAAAGCUCGUAGUUGAAUUUCUGAUUAUGGAUGUAGCGUUCGUUACAUUUGUAGUCAUCCACAUGAGAACCUUUCUCGGUCCUCACUGGUCGG
rnacentral:rRNA from 1 species